GAUGAACGCUGGCGGCGUGCCUAAUACAUGCAAGUCGAGCGAAUGGAUUAAGAGCUUGCUCUUAUGAAGUUAGCGGCGGACGGGUGAGUAACACGUGGGUAACCUGCCCAUAAGACUGGGAUAACUCCGGGAAACCGGGGCUAAUACCGGAUAAUAUUUUGAACUGCAUGGUUCAAAAUUGAAAGGCGGCUUCGGCUGGCACUUAUGGAUGGACCCGCGUCGCAUUAGCUAGUUGGUGAGGUAACGGCUCACCAAGGCAACGAUGCGUAGCCGACCUGGGAGGGUGAUCGGCCACACUGGGACUGAGACACGGCCCAGACUCCUACGGGAGGCAGCAGUAGGGAAUCUUCCGCAAUGGACGAAAGUCUGACGGAGCAACGCCGCGUGAGUGAUGAAGGCUUUCGGAUCGUAAAACUCUGUUGUUAGGGAAGAACAAGUGCUAGUUGAAUAAGCUGGCACCUUGACGGUACCUAACCAGAAAGCCACGGCUAACUACGUGCCAGCCGCCGCCGUAA
rnacentral:rRNA from 1 species